ensembl:lncRNA
CAUAACUCUGUUUUGAGUAGAAAACAAAUAUAUAUAAUAUAUAUGUAUCUAUGUAUGUACUAGCUAAAAAUGUUAUGUAAGAAUAUAAAACCUUAGAUAAAUAUAAAUAACUUUAUGCUUCUACUUUUAUAUGACGUAACUUUUAACUAAGCUAGGUAAAAAAAAAAAAAAAAAUGUCUAAAGAUAAAAAUAAGUGAUAUUUCAUCUACUCUAAAUUGAUACACAAAUACAUACAUUGGCAUAUGUGAACACAUAUCUAUACGUGUUUAUGUAUAGGCACGUGUUUAUAUGCACAUGUUUAUAUGCACAUGUUUACAUGCGCGGUAAGGUGUAAGGGGGAAAAUGAUUAAUUACAAGGAACUAAGAAAAAACUUAGUAAUUAAAUUUUCAAACAAAAACAAAUGUUCUAAUCAAGGUGUUAAAAAUGUAAAGCGCGAAAAAAUUGAGAAUAAUACAAAACCAAUUGAUGGUGUAAAAAAAAGAUAUAUUGAUGCAGGUCCAAAAUACGAAAACGACAACAAUAACAGUAGUAUUAGUAGUAGUAGUAAAAAGAAAGAUCAUAACAAUGAUGCCACGUUUGUCGAAUAUGAUAAAAUUAAUAUUAAAAACAGUAAUAGGUAUAACGAAGAAACAACAUUUAACAUUUUUUCUGAGCUAGACAAUAUAUUGAAUGAUAGCGAAAUUUCAAAAGAUGAGAACGAAUUUGUAAAAAGUAAUCAAACAAAAAAAACAGAAAAGAGUCUUAAUUUGAAUAAUAGUUAUAAUUUGAAUAAAAAUACGAACAUCCACACAAAUUUGUUUCCAGUGACCAGUAAUAUGUUAAGCGAUAAUGAUGAUACUAAUGAUAAGAUUUUUUUAAAAAAAAAAGAUAACGAUAGUUAUAAUGAAAAAACGUUUAAAAAAAAUAUGAAUGUUGUAGAAUUAAGUUUUAGCGUAAUAAAUAAAUGGAAUGACCCCAUUGAUUUGAUAGAGUUUGUAAAAAAUAAUUUAAAAAAUAAUGAAUUUAUGUACAUAAAAAGAUUAAGCAACAACAGAUACGAAAAAGUAAGCUGCGCAAACAAGAAAGACCCAAACAUAAUGUCCAUUUCGCUAAACGGAGUUAUGGUUAACGAAAAAAACGAUACGAUAUUUUAUGAAUUAAAUGAGUGGAAAGACAACGUGAUUUUACUGAAGAAUGCUAAGAAUUUAAAAUUUGUUAAAAAAUAUCAUUUAUAUAAAUAUUUUUUUUUAUUAAAGAAUAUGAUAAAAUGUAAUAAAUUUCGAAAUAGAAAAAAUUACAUACAAAAUAAUUUAUUAUAUUUAAAUAGACAGUUGUUUAUAGCAUUAAUGCAAAUACAUACAAUUUUACAAGAAAUAAAUGAAAUUAAAAUAAUCGAUACUAAUAUAAAUAACAUGAGUAUAGAAGAAUUUAAAGAGCUACAAAAUGAUUAUAUUUUGUAUUUUAACCUGACAUUAAAAAUGAAUUUAAAGAAUAUUGUUGAUAUAAUAUGCAAGCAUUGUACAAAGGCAUUAUAUGAUUACUUAAGUAGCAAUGGGAUAAAGCAAGAAAACAUAUCAGCUUCGAAAAAUGUCCGGGUUAGUCUUGUCAACAGAGCUAGCACAACUGCUACAGCUACAACUGCUACAGCUACAACUGCAACUGCUACGAGUUCUAAAAUAAGAAAAAAAAAAAAAACAGUGCUAGUAAGAAAAAGUAAACAAGCGAGUACAAAUGUAUCCGUACCCACGAUUGCGCACCAAAAUGAAAACAUAGAUGUAAAUAUUUAUUACAACAAAAUCGCAUUGAGUAGCUGCUUUGCUAUUUAUAUUAAAAAAUUUAUAAACCUGAAUCAAUACUUAUGUAAUAACACGUUGCGAAAUAUUAUUAUUAAUACAUAUGAAUAUAUUCUUAAGCUAUUAAAUGUUUAUUUUGUAGAAUAUGAUGAUAGUAGUAGCAACUUGGUUGUUACUUCUACUGUUAAAAAUGGCAAUACUAUUUUAAAAGCAGGUGCUACGAAACAUGCUAAUGCAGGAAGUAAUGACAAUACAAUGAUGUUGCCUUUGCAAAUGGACGGCAUAAUAAAUGAAGGUGCACAUACCACAAACACUUCCCAAACACAAGAAGAACACAUGAUUGGUAAUGAUAUUACAAAGAUGUUAACACGUAACGAAAAAUAUAGCAAUACAAAAAAAAUGGAUAAUAAAAUAAGGUACAAACUGAAGGAAUCAGAUGAUGGUAUUGCCACUUCUACUACCACUACUACUGCUACUGCUACUGACACUGCUACUACUACUACUACUACUACUGCUGUUAGCACCGACAGCACUACAAAUGCGGGUGCAAAUACAAAUACGAACGAAAAUAACAAAAACGCGAGUUCUUUUGGUAGAAAUGUUAUUAACAUAUAUGAUAGAAGUCAUAGUGCACAGAAACAAAUAAACGAAGUAUGUUUAUUUAAUAUAAUAAUAACAAUAGAGGAUAAUAAACCGAAAAUAAAACCAGAAUUAGAUUUGUUAUUAAAUACGUUGGAAUAUUACAUUAACAUUAAUAUAAAAUGUCUAAAUAAUAGAGAACCAUUUUUUAAUGAUAUUAAAAUACAAAACUUUUUUAAAAACGAAAUUUAUGUUGAUAGUAUUAUAAGUAGUAACAAGCGGGGUUAUAAUUAUAAUUAUAAUAUGCAUGACAACAAUAAUAGUAG